UAAUCCGCCAUUCCGAAUUAGUUCGUGGCACGCGUCGCAACCGAGCUUCGUCCUCUCGUUAAUUGCAGUUAAUUAGAAUAUUUUAUCCAACGUACGCUCUAAUUUUGUAUAUCGAUCGAACGUCGAAAACGCUAUUUCCACGGGUGAAUUUAUUAACAUCGAUCACGCUCAACUACGAAAUAUAUUCUGCUGCGUUCCUUAACCUAACAACCAUACAAGCCAUCGUUAUUUUCGAUUAUACAAUGGAAGAACUACGACGUUCGCAUUUUCGUCAUCAAUUUUACUUAUUUACAAUGAGAAAUGAUGUUGGACACACGACAACGACGACUGAUCGAAACUUUACAAGCACGUGGGGAAGCCAUUGGAAAGAUGACGUAAUAUGUACGUACGACGGUCCACAUCUUUCUUGCUGCCGCUUACUCCGCCAUUCUGAAUUAUUUCGUGGCGUUUGUCGCAAGCCAGCUUCGUCCUCUCGUUGACUGCAGAAUGGGAGAGGUACGACGUCUGGAUUUUCGUCUUCAAUUUUACUUAUUUACAAUGAGAAAUGGUGUUGGACACACGACGACGAGUGAUCGAAACAACAAGCACGUGGGGAAGCCAUUGCAAAGCUGACGUAACGCGCAUGCUCGACGAUACAGCUUCCUUGUUGCCGCUUAAUCCGCCAUUCUGAAUCAGUUCGUGGCACGUGUCCCAACCAAGCUUCGUCCUCUCGUUAAUUGCAGGAUGGAAGAGGUACGAUGUUCGGAUUAUCAAUUUUACUUACGUACGAUAAGAAGUGAUAUUCGAUACAGGACGACGAGUGGGCGUAGAUUCUGUAAAUUUGUUCGUCAGCGUUAACAACACAGUGUGGCCCAUGUUCCUAGAAAGAAGCAAGAUUGAUUUGGCUAGAGUUCAACAAAGUAGACGUCUUCCGUUUAAGUUUAUACAUUCAUUCUUCGAUUAAGCAGUGUUCUUUCAGCGAAACUUCUUUUAGUAAUUUGCCGUCAGAGUAUAUUUUUUGUUCGAUUGUACAUUUUUUGGGAAGUGCGUUUUAUAUACGUGGAAUAGUUGAUAAUUUGGAAUUCAUUCAAAUUGAUUAACGUUGAUGUAACAUUAUUUCUUUAAUUUUACAUUAGUGGAUUCUACAUGGAUUCUUUCAACCUUCAUCGUCGUCAUGUGAUUAAUAAUCGACAUCAUCAGGAUAGGGAGGAGUUGUGCACGGUCGUCACCGCGCAGUUGAAUCUUUCUAGACGCAACCCACUUUUUAUCGAGCACUUGUUUAUGGUCGAGAUUUGUCUCGUACCAUUUUCUGUGCAUUUACGCUGGUUGCUCUGCCUUCGUCCAGCAUUAUAAAAUAACCGAGGACAUUCUACUCUCCUCCUUAUUUUUUAGACCUGCUUCAGAUGUCGUUAAUUGAUCUCACGUCGAGGACGAUCGAUGGGAAAAUCUAUGUACGCGAACGCGCUUAAUCUACAUUAUUUUAACGAGCCGUCGUCCGUCUUGGAAUAUCACUGCGAAAUAAAAAUUGUAGACUUUUCGUUGAUAGUACAUGAUAGAACGAAUACUGCUUAAAUCACGGAGUGGAUGUAUCAUUCGACGGGUCGUUUCCUGAUUGCUGUAAUGCGGUUGACAGUUCUUUAGCCAUCGAAAUGUUACAAGCACGUGGGGAAGCCAUUGCAAAGGUAAUUAGAAUAUUUUAUCUAACGUACGCUCUAAUUUUAUGUACCGAUCGAAUGUCGAAAACGCGAUUUCCACAAGUGAAUUUAUUAACAUCGAUCACGUUCAA